rnacentral:lncRNA from 1 species
UUGUUGUUGUUGUUGUUGUUGUUGUUGUUGUUGUUGUUGUUGUUGUUGUUGUUGUUGUUGUUGUUGUUGUUGUUGUUGUUGUUGUUGUUGUUGUUGUUGUUGUUGUUGUUGUUGUUGUUGUUGUCGUUGUUGUCGUUGUUGUUGUUGUUGUUGUUGUUGUUGUUGUUGUUGUUGUUGUUGUUGUUGUUGUUGUUGUUGUUGUUGUUGUUGUUGUUGUUGUUGUUGUUGUUGUUGNNNNNNNNNNNNNNNNNNNNNNNNNNNNNNNNNNNNNNNNNNNNNNNNNNNNNNNNNNNNNNNNNNNNNNNNNNNNNNNNNNNNNNNNNNNNNNNNNNNNNNNNNNNNNNNNNNNNNNNNNNNNNNNNNNNNNNNNNNNNNNNNNNNNNNNNNNNNNNNNNNNNNNNNNNNNNNNNNNNNNNNNNNNNNNNNNNNNNNNNNNNNNNNNNNNNNNNNNNNNNNNNNNNNNNNNNNNNNNNNNNNNNNNNNNNNNNNNNNNNNNNNNNNNNNNNNNNNNNNNNNNNNNNNNNNNNNNNNNNNNNNNNNNNNNNNNNNNNNNNNNNNNNNNNNNNNNNNNNNNNNNNNNNNNNNNNNNNNNNNNNNNNNNNNNNNNNNNNNNNNNNNNNNNNNNNNNNNNNNNNNNNNNNNNNNNNNNNNNNNNNNNNNNNNNNNNNNNNNNNNNNNNNNNNNNNNNNNNNNNNNNNNNNNNNNNNNNNNNNNNNNNNNNNNNNNNNNNNNNNNNNNNNNNNNNNNNNNNNNNNNNNNNNNNNNNNNNNNNNNNNNNNNNNNNNNNNNNNNNNNNNNNNNNNNNNNNNNNNNNNNNNNNNNNNNNNNNNNNNNNNNNNNNNNNNNNNNNNNNNNNNNNNNNNNNNNNNNNNNNNNNNNNNNNNNNNNNNNNNNNNNNNNNNNNNNNNNNNNNNNNNNNNNNNNNNNNNNNNNNNNNNNNNNNNNNNNNNNNNNNNNNNNNNNNNNNNNNNNNNNNNNNNNNNNNNNNNNNNNNNNNNNNNNNNNNNNNNNNNNNNNNNNNNNNNNNNNNNNNNNNNNNNNNNNNNNNNNNNNNNNNNNNNNNNNNNNNNNNNNNNNNNNNNNNNNNNNNNNNNNNNNNNNNNNNNNNNNNNNNNNNNNNNNNNNNNNNNNNNNNNNNNNNNNNNNNNNNNNNNNNNNNNNNNNNNNNNNNNNNNNNNNNNNNNNNNNNNNNNNNNNNNNNNNNNNNNNNNNNNNNNNNNNNNNNNNNNNNNNNNNNNNNNNNNNNNNNNNNNNNNNNNNNNNNNNNNNNNNNNNNNNNNNNNNNNNNNNNNNNNNNNNNNNNNNNNNNNNNNNNNNNNNNNNNNNNNNNNNNNNNNNNNNNNNNNNNNNNNNNNNNNNNNNNNNNNNNNNNNNNNNNNNNNNNNNNNNNNNNNNNNNNNNNNNUCUUCUUCUUCUUCUUCUUCUUCUUCUUCUCAUUUUCUAUGGGAGACGACUUCGCAACAAGCUCUUUGGACCUUGCAGCUAUUUUGAAACUCACACGGGCAUCGAGGGCGGCAUAUUUUAUCUACUCGUACGUCAAGGGAUAAUUUUCCCAUCCAGACGACCUUAAUGCCAGCGUCUCAUCACCCUUCUGAAGAUUUGUACCGAGCAUAAAAUUUUCUUCGUCGAAUAAGGAUGGUGUCUGUUUAUCACAAUCUUCUACAGGAAUUUUGAUUCUGGUUUGUAGGUCAGCGAUGCUUUUCAAAUCAAGGUUGUACGGCGCCAGCUUCUGUUUGUCCCCUUCGAUGGCUGCCGCACAGAAGUAUAUAUCCUCCCGAGACAACAAAUCAUGGAGCUCACCUGGUAUGGAGGGCGAGUGUAUGAUGGGGUACACCAACACAUCAUCUUCGAGGCACAACUGAAGGACGGCGGCGCAUUGGAUCUUCCCAGUGGCAUGCUCCGUGCACUCUGCGUCGAGACCAAUGACCUUUAUCUCUACCUUUUCGAGGAAGUUGGAUACAUUGUUGAUCCACUUCCGAACAACCCUUGUGUGGUCGGUGACAGUGGCAACUAUGCUCAACAAGCCUUCGACGAGGACAUGUUGGACACUAAAAACCUGCAUCUGGAUCUCAUUCGCCAUUUGGAACCACUGGAUCUGAGGGCUAUGGAUUGGAGAAUUAGGAUUAGAUGGCUAGUCUAACCGAAGUAGAUGAUUAUUUAAAGGGGCUUCAGAAUUACUCCAGGAGUAUGUGAAGAGAUUAAAACAAUGUGAAUGCAGUGGGGUUUGGAUGCAAAUGAAGACGGAGGAGUGGUGAAGAAGCCGAGGAAAAUCGGUUCCCGAUGGAGAAGUAAAUGGGAGAAGUGGCGUGCGGGCAGUUGAUUAGACGGCUAGGUAGACUAAACGAAGAGGCUAUGCGGGUAGACUGAGGAGUCAUACUUGUUCAUGUAUGUGCCCAUCCUUCUAGCGCUACAUGUGCCACUGGCUAGUUGAGGUCACCCUUUCGAGUCACUGUGGCGAGAAAUUUUAUGAUUCCUUUUUAUUUCUGCACCUUUCCUGAUAGGUGGGACCUAUGCAAACAGAUAAAAAAAUGUGUCGUAGCUGGUUCAGAUGGAUAUUGGCGCGUGCGUGGGAGACACAACAUUCUCUGGUUAAGGAAUACACGGUUAUCCUCAAAAAAGAAAAGGCCCAUCUUCACGCUUCCACAUGCGCGAGAAUUUGGUUCUGCUCGCAAUAUGGAUGAUACCUGGAGGAUGAAGUGAAUGCAGAGGCAUGCUAGCACGGGAGACAUAUUUCCGCUAUACAGUACUGGAGUACUCAUGUUCCUACUACUACUAGUAGUAGUAGUACAACUGUGGUACACUUGAUGGUCAAAAUACUAUUCAUCCAGUCCUCACAAUAGUGACAACACCCUGCGCCUGACAGUAGUCCAAGCGGCGUGUUCGGGUUACCAAAGUCAGCCUCAAUUUGUGCACUGUGCAGUCUAUCACCGCCGCUGUAUAGCACAUUAGCAUGCCUCGCCUCAUCUCCCUCUCCCCUAGCACCACUCCAUCUCCAUCUCCAUCUCCAUCUCAUUGUGCCCUCGUGUACCGUCGCCUCGUUCGCCUCCCCCAGUACCACUAUUCCCUUGCUCGCCGCUCCAGCACCGAUACCUUCUCCCCCGUAAAUCAAACUCCCGAAAACCCCACCUUCCAAACUCCACCAUGGCUGAACGUGAACCGCGCAACAUCCAUAUGAGCCACGGUUGGAGCAAUCUCCCCAGUGACAUCCUCGACCUCUGUUGUUCGUGUAUGGAUAUGUUGAGUGUCGUGCGGCUGGCUGCAUGCUCGAGGGACAUGCUCACGGCCAUCAUCGAAGCGAGGCCUAAGCUUUUCAAGACACCCUGCUUGCUGAUAUUUGGUCUUGCUAGACCAUGGCACGGACGCGUACAUGAUGCCCCUCGACCUCAAUCCAACCUCCAUUAGCCGAAGCUUCUUUGCAGGCAUGUAGUGGGUCGCCGUACAUCAUUUCCCUUGAAUUUGAUCCGAUCACCAUCGCCCAAAACUUCUUGGAAGGUAUGUACUAGGUCGGCAUGAACUCCCACUGGAUGGCUGCCGUCAGAGAAGACAGGAGAAAGUUGGUGCUCGUGAACUUCCAGACCUCCCAUGAGUUUAUCCUUCCUCUGUUGGAUUAUUUUGGGUUUUACCGUCGCGGUCCAAGUCAUCUAGAUUACCACAUCAGUUGGACGGACCUUGUUUUGUAGAAGAUUGUAUUCUACCAAGUGCCCACAUGACAUGCAGAUUACGUAGACUUCAAGAUAAUUGCCUUGUUCGACCAUGGGCUCACCUAUCUUUAUGCUGGUGCCUUCUUUAGCUGGAGACAACUCAGCUCGCAGUGGAUCGUCAAAGCUGAUACUUAAUUCUAUGAUGCUAUUGAACACAAUGGCAUCAUCUACGCAAUCGAUAAAGCAGAUGGCACCACGUAUUGCUGGGAUGGCGCGUGUAAGUUGGUUUUUGUCUGAUGUUAAUGAUAACGCCAUGACACUGUUUGAACUUUUUGUGAUGAUAUGCAUACCCUUAUUUGAGCAUAAUUUGAGUAGAACUAUGGGAAUGUAUUAGAGGCGCCAUAAAUCAGCUAUAUUUGGAAUGAGUUAAUUUAUGCGAUUGUGACCAUGUCAUUACAACCAAUUUGUACCCUUGAAUAAUCAAACGGUUAGGCACAUAUGGAUAUUCUCCUUAAUUUAUUCUCCUGGAAUAUGUAUGUACCCUUGAAUUGAGUAGUAAUCUAUAUACUAGUAAAUAUGAGUGUGUAUCAAUAGCCAUGUUAGUUUCCUCAUUUUCGUGAUGUAGAAACAUGCAUAACAUUGUUGGUUUCAUCUAACAAUACAUUAGGGAAGUAAAUGUGCAUAUGGAGAAAUUUCUAUAUUCGGAAGUAGUGAAAUCCUGUAAUACUUACUAUGUGUACAUACCUAUAUUCGCACUUCAGCAAUCAAUGGCUAGAAUAAUUUCCUCAAAAAAAAAUUCCCACAGAACAGAAGUAUAUAACAAUGCACGGUCUGUUAGUUUCCUUGAAGAAUUUAUUUGUGAGGACAAAACAUGAUUUCAUAACAUGCAUGACAUGGUAGUUUCCUGUGAAGAAUCGAUUGCGAGAUAACAUGAGUAUAACCAUGCAUGGCACUUCUAUAUUUUCGAACCCAGUAUACAUUUCCCUAUAUUUUCCUCUCAGUUCAACAGGGACAUAUCAAUGUUGUUUCUUUCAUUAUCCUACUCAUACUCUGAAAAAUGCUGAUCUUACAUUAAUAGUGCAUGUCCUUUCUAAGAUGAUGCAGUGUCCCUACAGUUACUGCCCUUUGUAAUCACACCACCUUUGCCAAAAACAGGGAAGCAUAACUGGUUCCUCGCUCGAUCAGACGACCGCAAAAGACUGAUGAUCAUUCGCACACAUGAGCCGGAAAAGUUAUAUUGCAAAAAAACCACUGUGUACAAGCAUCGUGAAAUGUGUGAGUAUCCGGAUGGUGGCUGUUAUGUCUAUGAGCCGGAUACUAGGUUGUUGGGGCCUUCAGGAUUUUUGACUUGGAGGCGGGUAAACAGCCUUGGUUCACACUUUCUAUUUCUUGGACUCAAUUAUCUGAUUAACUAGGAGAUAACCAUUGUCAAGGACCUUGAUGGCACAGAGGCUCUGUUUGCUAUGGAAAACUGUGUCUACAUGGCGAGCCCUAGGAGUUUGGGAGCAAACUCCCCUGCUUGUCAAUGAUACAGCCUGCAGCCAAAAGAAGGUGAGAAUGACACAGGCAUCUGGGUUAACUUUGAUCCUUGGAUGUCUCAAGUCCGACAGGCGGUGAUGUAGUUCAAGCCUUCAGGCUGAUAGGUAAUUGGGCUGUUGCGUCGAAAGGGUGGAGUGCGGUGUCUCCGGAUCACCUAUGGCUGAAGUUGGGCUGCAAAUUAUAAUGGUGUUGGAUCAUCCCUCUUCGAAUGACUUGUUUUCUUUGCUGCUUGUUCUGGAUGGCUAGUUCUCUCUUUUGUUAUGCAUAUUCCUUAUCAUUUGGUCAUCCUCAUCUAUGUCACUCUUACUAUGUAAUAGUUGCCUCUAUUUAGAACCUCAUUCUCGUCUAGAUCACGAGAGUCUGAGCGCUGUAGAUGGGUGCGUUUUGGUGGUGUAGCAAGACUUCUUAUGAACUACCAUGUGUUGUUGUUUAUGUCAGUAGUAGUCACUAGUCAAUGUUUGAAUGUUGUAUAUGUCGUUCUUUCGAACUGUUUAUUGUCUCAAAUGCGGGUUGGCUAAAUGAGGGCAUCACCAUCCUCCAGUGUUUAGAGUAUAUCUCCUUUUUUCAAGUUAUAAUUUGAGCUUAGUGUCUUUUCGAUGAUGUACACUUGUUUGGGCCAGCGAGGUGUCGUUGAAUAUGGGCUGAGUAGUAACACAAUGCCAAACGGGUCAAUUAUGACUCUCAGGCCGGGCUCUCAAAAUAUCCUCAAAAAAAGGCCGGGCUCUCAAAAAAGGAAAGAAUAAGGACUCUUAGGCCGACAUGUGGGCGCCCCCGGUGUUUUCGUUCGCUUGCGCGCCGAGAGCAUAUUGGCGCAUGUUCGAAAUUCAUGCUACCUUUUCAUCCCUAAUCUCCCGCCCCUUCCCCACCUUUGGAAUCUCGAUUCCUGCUCCAGUUCCUCCAAAUCCCCCUCCUGUACUCCCUGUACUCAAGCACACUAUCAUGUCGCCUAUCAACGCGGAUCUCCAAGCCGGAGAUCCUGAGGUCCGUCCUGCCUUCGGGCACUGCGUGCUGUCGCUCAACAGUGGCAUGGCGGCGCUUGACGAUCAGUUUGCCGACAAAGUGCUGAUGGUAACCAUCAACGGUGGCCGGCCUCCCGUCUCGCCGGACGACCUUGUCAAAGCUCUUGGCAUUGCACACGACAUCCAAAUAAGUGACUUGCUCAUCGAAGUCUGUUCGCCACUAGCUGAUUUCUUCGUCAGGUUCUGGACAACUUUGACUAUAGUCGUGUGUUUGAAUCUUCCCGGCGUUUGUUCUGCAAUGGCGCGCUCGUGAGCUUUGACUAGUGGCACCCAGGAUGGGGCUCGGUGCCCUCUGAGCUUUAGUUUUUAACAAAGCUUACCUUCCACGGCAUGCCUCGACGUGCUUGGAACAACGAGUCCAUGAAUGAGCUUAACAACGACCUUGGAAGUGAGCUCGUAAGUAUGUUUGUUCCUCCAGACAGCUGGGCUCUGACGGUUAUGGCAUGGAUGAAGAAGCCGUCCACCAUACCGAAGGUGAUUGGUGUUGAGAUACCGGUGCAGGAACCGGGGUUGUACUAGUCGUCACCACCAAGGCCGUCGCGGACCACGUUAGGGAUGUACCUGUAUCGAGUGUUCGUGCCUGUCGAAGAAGUGGUCAAUCCAUCAAUCGAAGUCCUGCCGCCGUCGCUGGUGCCAGGGUCUGUCGACGACGUCCAUUACAUGAGUCAAUGUCAGACAUUCCCCGUGUUGACCGAAAUGAUGGAUGGCACAGGGCCUACUCCAUCGCGCGGCGGAGGCCACUGCUGGCUGCCUGGAUGUGCUCUAAUUUGAGGUAACAACUGAAUCUUGUCACAUACUAGUUAAAUCCGAGCUAUCAGUGUGAAGCACUGAUGUGCCAGUACAUUUGACUGUGACCUAUUCUAUUUUUGUACCUAAACUAUUUUUGGAAAGGGUUGUACGUCAACUUAACGUGCUAACAGAACUUAUUAUGUUGUCAGCAUUCAAGAUAUUUCCCAAUCAUUGAUAAAGACGAUGAACCGUUAUGUACGGGUUCGUUGGUUUCAACAUAGGCCUACCCAUAGCGAUCCACUUCUUCCACCCUGAUUGUGCCACCUGCGUGAAAUUUUUGUAUGCAAGUUCAGUGUGCUAUGAUGUCCUAUAUGAUUGUGUCAACUAUAUAAGUUUAUACUGAGCAUUAUCAAUUAAUGCAUAUGGCUGAAAGAUGUAUUUAUGAGCAUCGACCGAUGGGUCUCUCUCUCCCUCUCUCUCUCACACACACACACACCCACACACACACACACACACACACACACACACAAGUGGGACCCAUUGAAUUAUUUUUUCGCUCGUGACAACUUUUAAUUAGGUUCCACUGUGCUCUAACUUUUGUUAAGUCAUUAAUUGAGCUCAGUGACUUCAAAAAGUUGUACAGAAGCCUUGUUUGGGCCUUUCCGACGUCGUUGAAUGUGGGCUGAGUAGCCAUGUAAAGUUGUACUAUACUGCACAGGCCUUUUGUUUGAACAUCAGCAAUGCAACUGGGCCGACAGUUAUACACAAUAUCCUAAAAUAAGCGCAACCUAGCCUAUCUUUCUUUUAAUAAAAUGCACAACCCAGUUCAUUUUUAUAUAAUAAGAUUACCUAGUCCAACUUAAUUUUUCAAUAAUAUUCGUAUCUCAAUAUUAUUUUUAUACGAAAUGCUCAGUCUGGACCAUCAUUGUUUUUUCACCCAUCCCAGAAAAUGGGUCCAUUUCUACUAAAAUCAAAUGGCUUGUAAAUUAUCAGAAAUUUGUUGCAGGUAUGCAAUAUUAUUUUUGAUCCAGCUCAGUAAAUAGGUGUAUUCGAAUAAAAAAUCAAAUGCGUUGUAAAUUAUCAUAAAUAUUAUUUUUUUAGAAACAAUUAUCAUAAACAGUAAAUCGACUAUUAUUAUUAUUUUAUCCGGCCUAGGAAAUAGAUAGUUUUUUGAGUCAUAGCCCAGGAAAUAGAUGUAUUGGCAAACGAAAUGAAAUAGGCUGUAAAACCUAAAUAAAUGGGAUGCAUUCCGGCACAACUUUCCAAGCUGACUUUGUUGGCCUACUAGACGAAACCUGCGCAAGGUGUUGUCCAUUUAGUGAACAAAACGAUUUGAUGGUCUAAAAAAAGAGUCAACAAAUUAUUUUGACAUCUGUAGUAGUUGAAUUGAAAUCCAAUGACGAUCCUGCUUCUUCAAUCUCUGAUCUAGUUGCUCUUGCUCCAGCCGCCAAAACCAACGUAGGCUCGAGCACCUACAUCUACCUCCCGUGGCUGGGUGUGCUACCGCGGAGGCCUCGCCACCUCACUCUACUCCCAACGGUGGCCAGGUCAUACCUGUACUCACCCACACCUUCUGUUAUUCACCAACGAAGGCAGCCUUACCCGGCAGCCAAACUAGUCCCUCAUACUCCCCUCCUCCAGGGACUCCAGUGCCCCUUGUUCCAUGACUCCAGAUCGUUCCCAUCUUAGGCCUCGCCGUCAUCCACCGCCUUGGUCCUCUCGGUGCAGCAUGGUCAACAUGGUCAAGGAACGCCUUCCAUCGAAAGAGGAUUGUACGUGGAGAGGCUGAGAGUUGGGUCCACGGCCGCAGCAAGGAAUUGCCUACUCGCAAAAUAAUGAUUCCUGUACCAGACAGCGGGACCUACCGGAAGGGCCUCGAAAAAACAUUUCCCCCAGACAGCUGGGACCCACCAGCUACAUCUUCGUACGCAAGGAAGUGCGUCCAUAUUACAGGCCAAAAAAAUGAUUCUUCCCCCUGACAGUUGGGACCCACCAGCUAUAUCUUCACACGGAAGGAAGUGCCUCCUUAUCCUCCCUCACAGCUAGGACCCACCAUCUACAUCUUUGUAUGCAAGGAAGUGCGUCCGUAUUACGGGAAAAAAUGAUUCUUCCCCCUCACAGUUGGGACCCACUAGCUAUAUCUUUGCACGAAAGGAAGUGCCUCCUUAUCCUCCCUAACAGCUGGGACCCACUAGCUAUAUCUUCGCACGGAAGGAAAUGCCUCCUUAUCCUCCCUGACAGUUGAGACCCACCGGGUCGAACCGUACGUCGGGUUCUCUAUGUGAUCGCGGUCGUGUACGUACAUACGGAUCGAUCGGUCUCUCUGCAGCGAUGAACUGUGUUCGAGUAAGGAGAUGCACGUGUCAUAGUAGAGGCGCGGACGUGGCAUGUCACACAGUCCCGUCUAUAUAUCGUGUACACGUACGUACAGCCACGCUGCAAGAAAACAAAUACGGCUACGUACGUACAUACGGGCGGGGUCUUGAACGCGUACUCGUGCAUACGUACAGCCAGGGCUCGUCUACAUGGAGAGGCAACGGACGGCAGUGACGUCGUCCUGUUCAUCGGUAGCUAACCGGCUGGGUCGGAACGAAGGAAAUAACAUCGUCUUCACCGAGAGCCAAGUGACUGGGUCGAAAUGCAUCCCAUUCAUCGGGAGCGAAGCCACUGGGUUGGAAUGCGUCAUGUUCAUCGGGAGCCAACCGCCUUGGAUGGAACAACCGAAACGAGGCCUGGCGUACAACAGAACGAAGUAAACGGGGCUUCUAUUCGACUGCGUAUGGUCGAAACAGGGUCCUAUUCGUCGAAAGGGUCUGGCAUACCGCAAAACGGUGGAAACUGACUUCUGUUCGAGAUCCUACGGUCGAAACGGGGUCCUGUUAAUCAGGAGGGGUGUGGCUUACCGCAAAAUGGAGGAAACGGACUUCUCUUCGACCUCCUACAGUUGAAACGAGGUCUGGUUCAUCGGGAAGGGUGUGGCAUACCGCAAAACGGGACUCCACGAGCUACUUUUCAUCCACUGCCGACUUCCUCCAGCAUCCACAUGCUACUGUUCACCACCGUCGACUUCCUCCAGCAUCCACAUGCUACUGUUCACCACCGUCGACUUCCUCCAGCCUCAACCGACAACUGUUCAUCCAGCCCCCAGGGGGUCUUGUUCAUCUAGCCUCCACCGACUACUGUUCAACCAGCCCUACAUGGGGUCCUGUUCAACAAGCCCGUCCACGGGGUCCUGCUCAACCAGCCCUCCACGGGCUCCCUCCACCGGCUACUGUUCAUCCACCCCCACCUCCUCGAUCAGGGUCCUGUUCAUCUAGCGGCAACGACCUCUACUACCAUGGGAUCUUGUUCAUCCAACCCCCACUGGGAACUGUUCAUCCAACCCCAACUUACGUCUCGACUCGUUCAACCAACCCCCACGUUCACUGUUCAUCAAGAGGCAGCAGGUUCGAUCGGCUUCAGUUAGCAGCAAUAGCGAAGGAAUCUCUCGGGUUCAGUUAAUAGCAAGGGAUCGAUCGGGGUUCAGUAACAUAGCUAGUGCAAUCGUGUAACGCCCCCAAUUCAAUCAUACAGUAAUCAUACAUGCAAAUGUGUACGAUCAAGAUCAGGGACUCACGGGAAGAUAUCACAACACAACUCUAGACACAAAUUGAAAUAAUACAAGCUUCAUAUUACAAGCCAGGGCCUCGAGGGCUCGAAUACAAGCUCGAUACACAAGAGUCUGUGGAAGCAACAAUAUCUGAGUACAAACAUUAGUUAAACAAGACUGCCUUAAGAGGGCUAGCACAAAAGCAACAACGAUCGAAGAGGCAAGGCCUCCUGUCUGGGACCUCCUAACUACUCCUUGUCUUCAACGGCCUCCAUGUAGUAGUAGGCACCCUCGGGGUAGUAGAUGUAGUCGUCGGGGGUGGCAUCUAGCUCCUGGGGUCCACCAUAUGGUUGUAACAACUAGAAAGAAGAAAGAAGGGGGAAAAGGGGGGAGCAAAGCAACCGUGAGUACUCAUCCAAAGUACUCGCAAGCAUCAGAUCUAUACUAAGUAUGCAUAGGUAUCAAAUGGAAGGGUUGUAUCUGUGGACUGAACUGCAGAAUGCCAGAAUAGAGGGGAAGGCCUAGCCUAUCAAAGACUAGCAUCUUCAAGCAGCUCCAAGCAUCUUGCAUCAUGUAGAAGAGUAAAGAAUAGCAGUUUAUAUUUAACAAACAUGUUGUAGCAACAACGCCCAGAGAUCCUUCCUCGACUCCCUGCGAGAAAGCAAUCUCAAGUAUCCAUUUCUAGUUAUAUAAGAUCCGGAUACAAGUCUGAACGUCCAUUACCGUGGACACGGUAUUCGAAUAUAUAUCUUCCCUGCAGGGGUGCACCAUGUUACCCAACACGCUCGAUCACUCUGGCCGAACACACCUUUCUGGGGUCAAUGCCCGGCCUCGAAAGAUCAACACGUCGCAACCCUACCUAGCUCAGUAGAGAGGUCCUCGCCGGUCUACAUCCUAAGCACUCCGGGGUCUGGGCCCAUCGCCCGUUACACUCCAGAUCGUUGCGCGUAGGGCGAUCUAGGCCACCUCCACUGGGGCACCGACCAGGCCGUGCCGCAAUGCUGAACUGGACGUCUGACAAAGCUUCGACUGAUACCACAUGUCGAGGCCCAUAACUAUUCUCACGUGGUAGUUACUGCGAAAAGGCCAGAGGCCAACUCAGAACAAAUACCCAAACCUCUUAGUGCAUUGGGGGCUCGCGGAGACUCACGAUAAUGUGACCAUAUCGCCCCAUCUUGUGGACUUAUGGCAACGGCCCAGACUGCCCGGCCGUGCCACGUGGAAAUCUCGCGGGUGCUCUACGGGCCCGCCCGACUUUCACAUCAACUCGUGGGUACUCCUCAGGGCCGACCCGACUUCAACAAUGGUCAUAAGUAAAGUCAAGGCAACCGUGUGUCCAAACAUCCAGGGGAAAACCCGAGGAAUCACCCACGGUGGAUUCCACUCAAUGUAAUCAUCAAGGUGAACGUAAGAGGAACCACCCACGAGAUUCACACUUGAGGUGUUGCACGAUAGAGCGGUAUCGGGAAUGGUGAAAGAGGAACCACCCUCGUUGACCAUGACCGAAUUGCUACACUACAGAAUUAUCAUCAAGAGUGUGUUAUGAGGGAUCACCCUCGGUACUUGGUAGUAGCUCUGCAGAGUCGAGCAACAAAAGGGGCAUGAUGUGAUGUGAGGUGUCGGGCUCUGGUCGUCGAUCAUGUUGAUCGAGGCGUCGACAAUGAAGCAGGGGCAACAAGGACAAGUGGGGGUCACUGAUGGAUCACUAACCAACCUAUACUAAGCAGUUUAGGAUAAGCACGUAAGGUACAACAGCAGGUACAAAAGUAGGCUAUUCAUUAGAAUAGGAGCAAUCAAUUACAAUAGCAACAUCUAAUGCAAGCAUGAGAUAAUGGAAUGGGAGAUAUCGGGAUGAUCAAAGGGGGGCUUGCCUGGUUGCUUAAGCGAGAAGGAGGGGGUCGUCGUCGAAGCAGUCGAUCACAGGGGCAUCAGCAGUAGUCUCGGGGUCUACCGGGGAGAAGAUGGGGGAAGAAACAGUAAAUACAAAGCACACAGAUACAUUACUAUGCAUGACAUGACGAAAUGCGUUGCUAGGGGUAUUCUAACACAGUGUUACAUGAUACUGGCGAAGUGGGAGAACAUCCAGGAAUGUUUCCCCGAAGUUUGGCAUUUUCGGACAGACGAACCGGAGGGGGAAGGUUGCAUGUUUGCUAUGCUAAGGGUGUGUGGCGGAUGAACAGACCGUGUAUUCGGAUUCGUCUCGUCUUUCUUAGCAACUUUCAUGUACAAAACUUUUUCAUCCGAGUUACGGAUUAAUUUCUAUGAAUUUCUAAAAUUUUAAACAAUAUUUUGAAAUCAAUAUUAAUUCGAAAUUAAUUGCUAAAAAGCUAGGGACACCCAGCACAGGGUACACAAAAGUGCACCCAGUAGCUGACAGAUGGGCCAGGGGGUCCCAAUUGACCAGUCAACGUUUGACUGGUCAAUAGCGCAUGGGCCCCCCUGUCAUUGACUGCUUAGACUAAUUAAUCCAGUUUCCAAAUAAACAUGUGAUUAGGGUAAUUAAUACUAAUUAAUUAACUAAGUUUAUUAUUAUUAUUACUAAACAUUUUUUUAACUCUAUGUUUUAAGGCCAGGGCGUGGGGCCCAUAGAUCAGUGGCCAAGGGCCAGCGGGGCGGGAUGGGUUAACGGGCGGCCAGGGGCGCCCGUCAAAGUCAAAGCCCACCCGGGCGGGGUGAGGCCGCCAGGCGUGGUGGGGCGUCGGCAGCCCCGAUGAGUGAGCGCGGCUAGCGGGGUGGCCAGCGGGGUCGGGGUGCGAGGCGCGGCGGCGCAGCAGUGAGUGGGGCGAGCGCGUAGGGAUGCGGGCCGACGAGCUGCGGUGGUAGUCGCGGGAGCAGCGAGUAGCACAAAGGCGUGCGGCCAACGGGACGGCACGCAGCGGCGAGCGAGGGCAGCACAGCAGGGUCGGGCCGGAGGACGGGCCGGCCACGAUGGUGCCGCAGUAGGCAGCCGUGGGCCGUGCGGGCCUGCUGGUUGCAGUGGGGGCAGACACGAUGGCGGGGCGCGCUGUGGACGGCGGCAGCAGUAGGAGCAACGCGCAGUGGUAGUAGGCCGCUGGCUGGGCGCGGGGCUACAUGCAGAAGGGUGUGGGCAUGCGCGUGCAAGGCGACGUCCGGUCAUGGCGACCACGACGAGUACGGGAGCGGUGGCUGGGUGAGCUAGAGGCGACGAAUCGAGCAACGAGGAGAGGGGAAAGAUGCGGGGGCUCACAAUUCUCCUGCAGAUGUGCUCAAGCGUGCUCGAGGUGGGCUCGGUGCAGCAGAAUCAAUGACGGAGCUCGUCGGAGCAGAGGAGGAAGACGGCGACGACGUGGGUGCUAUGAUGGCUCCGAGCUCCAACGCGAUGCGCUAGGCGAAGUAGCGGACGGCGGUGAUCGUCCGGGACACAAUGGGACGGGGAGAGGGGCACAAUGGCUGUGGCUAGGCCGUAGCCAUGGCGAUGCAGCAUGCUCACGAGCUCGAGAAAGGGGAUCCGGCGAGGGGGAGAGAGGCUGAGAGGGAGGAGGGAGUGGGAGUGGCAGGGGGAGGACUCGAGGAGGCAAGUGGGGAGAGGGGAGACAAGGGCAGCCCGAGGCGUCGCCCUUAUCCCCUCGGGUGGCACCGACGAGGCUGGUCCGACGGGGAUGAGCUCCUGUUCGGGCACGGUCGUGAACAGGAGAAGACGACCGGGGGGAAGAUGGGCUGGGCCUGGUUAGGUCAGAGGCCAGCUGGGUCGAGAGGGUUGCCCCCUUUUAUUUUCUUGUUUUAGUAUUUACCUUGUGUUUAUUGUCUUUGAGCCACUAAAAGAGUUUUGUUUAAUACAAAACUUGGCACAAAAUACAAGGCAAUAACCUGGGUUGGUAUAAAAAGUUUCAAAGCAUUUGGGAGUGUUCAACUAUUUUUAGAAAUUGAAAAGCUCAAAUAAUUGGCUGUUGGUCUAGUGAAUAAAUUUUCAGGGGCUUUGUGGGAAUCCAAAAGAGGUUGGUUCCAACAUGACAAUGAUCAGGUGAAUUUAUAGAAUAUUGUGAACAUUUAAGAUUUGACAUCUGAAAACUUAUAUGUUUGAUUUUGUUUUAGAUUUGAAUUUGAAUCGGUUUCGGACCAACAUGAGUUUAACAACAGUAAUCAUGAUGAUGUGGCAUCAUUAGGAGGGAAUUACUGUAGCUUAAUUAUCCGGGCAUUACAAUUCUCCUCCACUACAAGAAAUCUCCGAGAUUUAAGGGGGAGUAAGGAGGGAAAGACUCAGGAAGGAUGGAGCUCAACAGAAGGUAAGUACUAGGGGGAUAUCUCAGUGGACAUGGCAUAGAGACAUCUCUCAAGUUGAAAUUUAAGAAAGUCAUCAAGAGCAAGGUAAGAAGGUGCAAUAAGAAGUUUCAACCAGGUAGGCAAUCGUUCGUUACCUGAAACAGAGGGUGAACGGGGUUCAGAGCAAUGGGAAUAAGUAUUGCGCCUGAUACCAGAAAAGAUCACUAGGAAUGUGGCUCAUGAUUUACAUACGAAGCCAAGUGCGAGGAACAAUUUUGGAAAACAGGGAUGUACAGGAGAGUCAGGUUUCGAUCCUUUGGUACUUUGGGUUAUUGGCCCACCAUGUGGUUUAACACCAGGAAGGCGCUAAUCAUUUUGCAGGGUCAUGAUAGCAAGGCAGGUCAGAGGAUAGCCUAUCAAUUGUGUUGACAACAAUGUAGAGAACCAUUUUCAUGCUCGUUAAGACAAGGCGGACCAAUAGGCAAAGUUUUUGUCCGUCGGUGGCUACCGGAAUGUCAUCAACAAUAGUAACAAGGUCUCACUAACAGAGUUGUACAUCGAGGCAUUUACAUAAGCAGUGAAUUAUCACUGCUCAUAUAUGUUACAUUACAAGAAAGAUUAAACAAAACAAUGGAAAGGAAAGUGUAGACAUCGAAUCAGUUAUCAGCGUUCUCGAGUGUCUAACAACUCAGAACCCAUAGAAACUUGGAAUCAGCAAGAAUUAAUAGUUCAUGAAGAACUCAUAAGAUGUUAUGUAGUUCCGUGAUAUUCUCGAGAUACCAGAGGGUAAUACUCGAAGGUAGAACAUGACAGAGGUUGGACAGGUGAAAUGAGCUGAAGAGGACAAGUACUCUAACUUGUCCAAGAAAUGGAAUCAAAGGAGAACAAUCAUGGUCGGAACAACGGUUGCAAAGGACAAAUAUAGGUGUCAGAUGAACUUAUCACAAGAGGAUUAUUAUUAUAACAAGAAGCUUCCAUGGUAAGUUCCACAUCGCGCCCAUGGGCAUGAACACAAAGGUUCAUGGUCGCUCCCACUUCAUCAAUGCAUAACCUUCCAUUUACUUCUCGUCUUUGAUGAAGUUAUAGAGUCAAACUUCAUGAGUAGAUAACUCAAGCUCGGAGUAGAGCAUGAUUGAGGAAGUAGAAGAUACAAUUUACCAAAGGCAUUAUGUAUCCAAGGAAAAGCUCACAAUGUUACUGCAUAUGAAGGAUGAUGUUGGAUAGAACCCCACAAAGGAUCUGGUGGUUCACAAGGGAUCUGAUGUGAGCAUCGGCACUCCACCAGAAAAAGAAAGAAUGCAAGGAUAUCAGAUUAUAGAAACAACUGACUAAUUCAAUGCUCGAAUUCAAAGGGAAUUAUGAUUUCCAAAACGAGGGGUCGGAAGAAGAGGCUCUGAUCAAAGACAAGUAAAUUGAAUAGACAAAGAUUGAAAAUUAAUCAUGGUUUGAUUUGUCGAACACCAGCUCGUGUCCAGGGUGACGUCUGAGCCGAAAGGACAAUUCCAGGGAACAAUUGACGAUUUCAUGCAUUCACACACAUGUUGAAACAAUAGGGUAAGGAUGUCAAUCGCAAAGGAUUUUAAUGAAUAUUGAUAGACAAAUGGAAGUAACCAUAAUGUAAGCAAGUAAGGAGGAACAAGAGUAAUAGGCUACUGAGGAUUUUCGAAAGAUCGAAUAGCAUUCCAAAGAAUGUUGUGAAACACAUCAACAACUAUGGACGAACCGAUACUCGGCAAGCGCGAGUAAUUAUCCGUAGGGGUAUUCAUGCGGCAAGGAACUGCAGGGCAGUAAGCAUAAAGGGUUCUCGGAACAUCCGAGAGUAUUUCAGGACAUCUUGUAAUAACAAGAGCAACUGGGGAUGAAGGUAUGAAUGACAAUAUAGGUAGUUACCCAUAAGGAUUUAUCUGUGGUAGGGAUCACAACAGAGAAGGGCACAAGGGUCUCGAUAAAACUUCAGAGAGUAUCUUUAGAAUCUUCUGAUGAAGCAGGCCAUCAUCUGGAAUGAAGGGGCUCUCCGGGAGAAAGUAUUUAUGAGAACCUAGAGUUAUUGUUAGCAAAAACCAUUUAACCCGAGUAGAAGAGAGAUUAGAUUCCCAGAGUAUAGACGAGGAAUAAAAGAUCCUAAUACCACCCAAUGGCGACAUGGGCCCGUAAGCCACGCAGCCAUGUUAGUAAAACAGUUUUUCAGUGACUAGACUCAACUCCGGCCAAGGAGUUGGAAAGGGGGUUCCUACAGGCAGUCGGCUCUGAUACCAACUUGUGACGCCCCCGAUUCAAUCGUACACUAAUCAUACACACAAAUGUGUACGAUCAAGAUCAGGGACUCACUGGAAGAUAUCACAACACAACUCUAGACACAAAUUGAAAUAAUACAAGCUUCAUAUUACAAGCCAGGGGCCUCGAGGGCUUGAAUACAAGCUCGAUACAUAAGAGUCAGCGAAAGCAACAAUAUCUGAGUACAUACAUUAGUUAAACAAGACUGCCUUAAGAGGGCUAGCACAAAGGCAACAACGAUCGAAGAGGCAAGGCCUCCUUUCUGGGACCUCCUAACUAUUCCUGGUCUAUGACGGCCUCCAUGUGGUAGUAGGCACCCUUAGGGUAGUAGAUGUAGUCAUCGGGGGUGGCAUCUAGCUCCUGGGGUCCACCAUCUGGUUGUAACAACCAGAAAGAAGAAAGAAGGGGGAAAAGGGGGGAGCAAACCAACCAUGAGUACUCAUCCAAAGUACUUGCAAGCAUCAAAUCUAUACUAAGUAUGCAUAGGUAUCAAAUGGAAGGGCUGUAUCUGUGGACUGACUUUCAGAAUGCCAGAAUAGAGGGGAAGGCCUAGCCUACCGAAGACUAGCAUCUUCAAGCAGCUCCAAGCAUCUUGCAGCAUGUAGAAGAGUAAAGAAUGGUAGUUUAUAUUUAACAAACAUGUUGUAGCAACAACGCCCAGAGACCUUCCUCGACUCCUUGCGAGAAAGCUAUCUCGGAGCCACAUAUCCAUCACAUAUCUCAAGUAUCGAUUUCUAGAUAUAUAAGAUCCGGAUACUAGUCUGAACGUCCAUUACCGUGGACACGGUAUUCGAAUAUAUAUCUUCCCUGCAGGGGUGCACCACGUUACCCAACACGCUCGAUCACUCUGGCCGGACACACCUUUCUGGGGUCAAUGCCCGGCCUCGGAAGAUCAACACGUCGCAGCCCUACCUAGGCUCAAUAGAGAGGUCCCCGCCGGUCUACAUCCUAAGCACUCUGGGGUCUAGGUCCAUUGCCCGUUGCACUCCGGAUCAUUGCGCGCAGGGCGAUCCAAGCCACCUCUAAUGGGGCGCCGACCAAGCCGUGCUGCUAUGCUGAACUGGACGUCUGACAAAGCUUUGGCUGAUACCACGACAUCAAGGCCCAUAACUAUUCUCGCGUGGUGGUUAGUGCGUAAAGGCCAGAGGCCAACUCAGAACAAAUACCCAAACCUGUUAGUGCAAUGGGGGCUCGCGAAACGAGCAGAGACUCACGAUAAUGUGACCCCGUCGCCCCGUCUCGCGGACUUACGGCAAGGGCCCAGACUGCCCGGCCGUGCCACAUGGAAAACUCGCGGGUGCUCUACGGGCCUGCCCGACUUUCACACCAACUCGCGGGUACCCCUCAGGGCCGACCCAACUUCAGCAAUGGUCUCAAGUAAAGUCAAGGUAACCGUGUGUCCAAACAUCAAGGGGAAAACCAGAGGAAUCACCCACGAUGGAUUCCACACAAUGUAAUCAUCAAGGUGAACAUAAGAGGAACCACCCUCGAGGUUCACACUUGAGGUGUUGCACGACAGAGCCGUAUCGAGAAUGGUGAAAGAGGAACCACCCUCGUUGACCACGAUCGAAUAGCUACACUACAAAAUUAUCAUCAGGAGUGCGUUAUGAGGGAUCACCCUCGGCACUCGAUAGUAGCUCUGCAGAGUCGAGCAACAAAAGGGGCGUGAUGUGAUGUGAGGUGUCGGGCUCUGGUCAUCGAUCAUGUUGAUUGAGGCAUCAAUGAUGAAGCAGGGGCAACAAGGACAGGUCGGGGUCACUGAUGGAUAACUAACCAACCUAUACUAAGCAGUUUAGGAUAAGCACGUAAGGUACAACAGCAGGUACAAAAGCAGGCUAUGCAUCAGAAUAGGAGCAAUCAAUUACAGUAGCAACAUCUAAUGCAAGCAUGAGAUAAUGGAAUGGGCAAUAUCGGGAAGAUCAAAGGGGGGGCUUGCCUGGUUUCUCAAGCGAGAAGGAGGGGGUCGUCGUCGAAGCAGUCGAUCACAGGGGCAUCAGCAGCGGACUCGGGGUCUACCGGAGAGAAGAGGGGGGAAGAAACAGUAAAUACAAAGUAGAUAGAUACAUUACUAAACAUGACAUGACGAAACAUGGUGCUAGGGAUGUUGUAGCGUAGUGCUACACGAUAUCGGUGAAGGGGGAGAACAUCCAGGAAUGUUUCCCCGAAGUUUGGCAUUUUCGGACAAACGAACCACAUGGGAAAGGUUGCAUGUUCGCUAUGCUAAGGGUGUGUGGCGGACGAACGGACCGCUUAUUCGGAUUUGUCUUGUCUUUCUGAGCAACUUUCAUGUAUAAAACUUUUUCAUCCGAGUUACGGAUUAAUUUUUAUGAAUUUCUAAAGUUUUGAACAAUCUUUUGAAAUCAUUAUUAAUUCAAAAUUAAGUGCUAAAAAGCUAGGGGCACCCAGCACAGGAUACACAAAAGUGCACCCAGUGGCUGACAGGUGGGCCAGGGGGUCCCAGUUGACCAGUCAACGUUUGACUGGUCAACAGGGCGUGGGCCCCCCUGUCAUCGACUGCUUAGACUAAUUAAUCCAGUUUCCAACUAAACAUGUGAUUAGGCUAAUUAAUCCUAAUUAAUUAAUCAAGUUAAUUAUUAUUAUUACUAAACAUUUUUAACUCUUUUUUAAGGCCAUGGCGUGGGGCCCAUAGGUCAGUGGCCAAGGGCCAGCGGGGCGGGAUGGGUUAACCAGCGGCCAGGGGCGCCCGUCAAAGUCGAAGCCCAUCUGGGCGGGGCGAGGCCUCCAGGAAUGGCGGGGCGUCGGCAGCCCCGAUGAGUGAGCACGGCCAGCGGGGUGGCCAGCGGGGUCGAGGCGCGGUGACGCAAUAGUGAGUGGGGCGAAAGCGCAGGGACGGGGGCCGGUGAGCUGCGGCGGCAGUCGCGGGAGCAGCGGACAGCACGAAGGCGUGCGACCAAUGGGGCGGCGCAUAGCGGCGAGUGAGGGCAGCACAGCGGGGUCCGGCCGGAGGGUGUGCCACCGUGGUGGUGCCGCACCAGGCAGCCGUGGGCAGCCCGGGCCUGCUGGUUGUAGUGGGGGCGGACACGAUGGCAGGGCAAGUUGCGGACGGCGGCAGCAGUAGGAGCAACGCGGAGCGGUAGCAGGCCGCGGGCUGGGUGCGGGGCUACGUGCAGAAGGGCGCGGGCUUGUGCGUGCAAGGCGACGUCCGGUCAUGGCGACCACGACAAGUACGAGAGCGGUGGCUGGGUGAGCUAGAGGGACGAAUCGAGCAACGAGGAGAUGGGAAAGAUGCCGGGGCUCACAGUGCUCCUGCAGAUGUGCUCAAGCGUGCUCGAGGAGGGCUCGGUGCAGCAGAAUCGACGGCGGAGCUCAUCGCAGCACACGAGGAAGAUGGCGACGACGUGGGCGCUGCGGUGGCUCCAAGCUCCAACGCGAUGCGCCAGGCAAAGUAGCGGACGACGGUGAUCCUCAGGGACACAGUGGGACGGCGAGAGGGGCACGGCGGCUGUGGCUAGGCCGUAGCCAUGGCGAUGGAGCAAGCUCACGAGCUCGGGAAAGGGGAUCUGGCGAGGAGGAGAGAGGCUGAGAGGGAGGAGGGAGUGGGAGUGGCAGGGGGAGGACUCGAGGAGGCAAGUGGCGAGAGGGGAGACAAGGGGACCCCGAGGCGUCGCCCUUAUCUCCUCGGGGAGGUGCCGACGAGGCUGGUCCGACGGGGUGGUGACGAAGAGAAGCCCUCGGGACGAUGGCGGAUGAGCGGGCUCGACCCUUUCCCCUUGCCAUUGUGGCGUUGAUUCUGGGUAGAGUAGUGAGCGGAAGGGGAAGCAAGAGAUAGAUGAUAGUACUAGUGGGUCGCAGAUUGGAAAAGCAAGAGGUAAAUGAGCAACGCUCUCCAUGAGCCCCUCAUUAUGGGGAAGGUGUGGGGGGUUGGCUCUUUACUGUCUAUUUGAAGUGACCACUCCCAGUCAGGCAUACUACUCCAGCGUCCACCCAGUUUCACCAAUCCCAGGCCUUGCAUGCAGUACGCAUGGAAGAAGCCACAGUAAAACUGAAAAUUACAACAUAAUUGGUAGUUAUCUUUUGCCACACGUGCAUGUGCAUUGUUUGGGCCUAGCCCAAAGACGCCUCACAUGCAUGUGUGGCCCAGGCCCGGGGGCUCCUGUCGGUGUAUUAAGAAUGGGGGUCUUUAAUGCCCAGACUUAUGCAUAGGUAGUGGUAGCCUUCCCGACGGCAAGGCUUGAUGGAGGACAACAAAAGACAAACACAAGACCAGAUUAUUAUAAGAAGUAAAGAACGUCUCAAAAGAUAGGGAUCAAAAAUACUUAAGACAUGGCUCCAGAGCCCGGCAAGAUCCUUGAUGGGGAAAGACGCCAAGGUCCAAGCCCGGCAAGGUCCAAGCCCACCAAGAAUCCCACUACCUUGCCACCGCUCCACCUCAUCGAUCAGGUUGUCACUUGUCGAUUAGGUGUCGAGCGGGCAGGUAGUUAGGUGAAACUUUUCUAGGCACGUGGUAGCUCGCCUCUGAAGAUAUUUUUUUCGAUAAAGGGUGGAUUUUGUUGACUCAAAAUGGAGCAUCAAGUGGAUACAAACACAAUGAGCACACACUCGGCCUCUGCAUAACUAAGAUGCACAUAGCCAACACCAACACAUGCACACAAAACACACGCCAACAAAUAGCAAAAUCAUGUAAGAUCGAAAAAAAGAAAGAUUAAAGCAAUCAGAUCAAGUCAGCAAUCUGCAAACUAUAACAAUGGUCAUAUCCGCACCAACUAUCUCAUGUCACCACCCGGACUUCGUGGUUCUUCAACAGCAACGCCUUCAAGAAGGGAAACGCUCAAGCACCGCCAUCACCGGAUUCAACCAAUCAAGAUCACAAUCUAGGUUUCCAAACCCUGAUGAAUCUAUCCGAGCAUAUCCGAGCAAUGCCUUCAACAAGGUAAUGACAUAAAAACAUCGCCAUCGUCAGGUAUAACCUACUUGGAUCAGACCUAGGUUUUCACCUCGGAACUUGAGACCGAGUGCUCGAGUAGCACCACCAUGGAUGUCACAAGUGUUGUCCCCACCCCUUUUCCGCGAUCCCAGCAGCCACAUGCGAUGCACGAUUGCCAUCGUUGCACAACCAUUCCUCUGUGCCAAACAGUUGUCCAUAGUUUGCAUCUCAUGUCGAAAGUCAACCAUCAGAUCUGGAAACUUUUGGUGGCCACUGCAAUCAAGACUGAGGUCAUGCAAUCCGACGAGAAGUCAUGCAUAGGCCCACUGCAUCCGAUAAAGCCUCCAUUGUGCCACAUAGACCCACCAUUACCAUCACCACCUCCUAAUGUGCAACGAUAGUUGUCAUUGCCGAGGUCAACUACAAAUCCUUGCCUCGCUGCCAGCCACCACAAGGUCUUUGCUCAGUGGCAGACUUGCAGCAGCGAGGGAAGGAUGCACUGAGGAGACGUUGGUGGCGUCGGUUUGGAAUAUAGAUGAGAUUAAGUGUCCCAAGAGCUCAUCGGCACCCACGGUGGCAGUUGGCAAAGCGUCAUGGGAGGAACUAGAUCCAUGAGGAAAUCCAGCCGCCCGGCCCAUUCCUACACCACCAUUGCUCAAGAUUCGGAUUUGAACUGGAGCUCGAUGUCGUAGACAGCCCAUGUACAUGGGCCCGUGACAAGAGCUGUUGCAAGCCAUAUGCCCACAUGCGGAGGCCAGUUGUCCUUGAGCAUCCUCCGGCUGAGCUCCCUCGACGUAGCUAUGCAGUUACCGGUCGACUGCAUCCAAGCAACAGGAAAGGGAUAUGUCGUUCGUUACCCCACGCGGAAUAAGUCACCAAGUAGGGAGCAUACAGCUGCUGGGAGGGAGCACUGCUUCCAAGAAGGAAGGCUGCCACCACCGUGGCAAGCGCCACCGGCAGCGGCGGCACGGGUGGCUCCGGUGAGGAGGGGGACCUGGCGACGUAGAUUGGGAUCUCCCGGUUCGCCCCUCUUGAGUGACAUGGGAGUCGGUUUUUGAUCUGUGUGAUGCGGCUGCCUCUGAAGGUAUAUGUUCAAUGACACCCGUCCAUGUGAUGUGUCGAAGGAAUAGAAGGUAGAUGGGUGAACGACAUAGAAGGAGAGACCAUCCCUUCCGGAGAGCUCCAUCCACAAGACACCUCAUGGGGCAUUAAAUGCAUUUGUCCUAACCCGUCAGAGUUAGGUAUAUGGUACUGUAGCCGCUAUACAGUGUAGAUUUACCAUUUUGCCAUUGUGGCGAACCCUUAGUCUAUAAAUGGAGGCCCAUGGCUACCUUAAAAAAGGUCGAAACCCUGUCCAUUAUACACGUGUAGCUGAAUAUCCUGAGAACCUUGACGAACAUGUGCUCCUUGUAGUUGGACUCAUAUACACAAUCAAUACACAAAGUAGGAGUAGGGUUUUAUGCUUCGCAGCAGCCCGAACCUGGGUAAAAACCAUGCGUUUUUGCUGACCCUACUCUUUGUGCAUGUCGGUCCCUCCAGUUGAACCGCAAAGGGAUCACCAUGAUCCCAUAGAUGGUUGUACGCACGACAGUUUGUGAUUCCGAAGCAUGCACGUAUAGUCUCCCGUUAUCCUAAGUUGGAGCACGAUUUAUUAUUGAGUGUCUUCCUUUGUGUGAGGUCGGGGGCGCGCGAUGGUUAACUCCUACCAACCCCCCUAGGGCAUGCUUAGUAGUACUUUUCUUUGAGGGCUAAUAGACUUUCGCAAUAAGUAUGUGAGUUCUUUGUGACUAAUGUGAGUCCAUGGAUUGUACGCACUCUCACCUUUCUGCAAUUUUCUAGCCUCUUUGGUGUCGUGCAUUGCCCUUUCUCACUUCGAGAUGUGGUGCAAACUUCGCCGGUGAAUCCAAACCCCGUGAUAUGAUAGACUCUAUCACACGUAAGCCUCCUUAUAUCUUCGUCAAAACAACCACCAUACCUACCUAUUAUGGCGUUUCAAUAGCCAUUCCAAGAUAUAUUGCCAUGCAACUUCCACCGUACCAUUUAUUAUGACACACAUCAUCAUUGUCAUAUUGCUUUGCAUGAUCAUAUAGCUGACAUAGUAUUUGUGGCUCAGCAACCUGUCAUCAUUUUUUAUACAUGUUACGCUAGAUCAUUGCACAUCCUGGUACACUGCGAGAGGCAUUCAUAUAGAGUCAUAGUUUGCUCUAGUAUUGAGUUAUAAGUAAAUAGAAGUGUGAUGAUCAUCAUUAUUCAUUAUUAGAGCAUUGUCCCAGUGAGGAAAUAAAAAAAGAGGCCAAAAAGAGCCCAGGAAAAAAGAGGCCGAAAAGAGCCCACCAAAAAAAAGAUAGAAGGUGCAAUCUUACAAUAUUUUCCCACACUUGUGCUUGAAAGUAGCACCAUGUUGUUCAUAUACAAAUUCUCGUAUGUAGUCACUUUCAUAUACUAGUGAUAAUUUUUUAUUAUAGGAUUUUGCUUGUAUUUUCCGAUCAUGAGCUUCCUCAAAUGCUCGAGAUCUUCUUAAGCAAGCAAGUUGGAUGCACACCCACUUCGUUUUAAGUUUGAGCUUUCAUACACAUAUAGCUCUUAGUGCAUCUGUUGCAUUGCAAUCCCUACUCCUUGCAUCGACAUCAAUUGAUGGGCAUAUCCAUAGCCCGUCGAUUAUCUGCAUUGAUGUGAGAUUUUCUUUCUUUUCUGUCUUCUCCAUAUUAAUCUCUACCACUGUAUUUUAUUCCACCCAUAGUGCUAUAUCCAUGGCUUGCGCUCAUGUAUUGCUUAGGGGUUGAAAAAGCGGAGGCACGUUAAAAGGUAUGAACCAAUUGCUUGGCUGACACCUGGGUAGUGCAUGAUUUAUAUUUUGUGUUAACAAGAUGGAGCAUGACAAGGCUAUAUGAUUUUGUAAGGAUAUAGUUCUUUAGCAUUUAUUUUGAAAGACAUGAUUGUGUGUUGGUAUUUCCUGAGCAUUAUUGUCUUUAUAUCAAAGUAUAGACUAUUGCUUUGAAUCAUUCAGAUCUAAAUAUUCAUACCAUAAAGAAAGAUUACAUGAUGAACAUGUUAGGUAGCAUUCCGCUUCAAAAAAUCUGUUUUUACCAUUUACCUACUCGAGGAUGAACAUGAAUUAAAAUUGGGGAUGGUUGAUACGUCUCCAACGUAUCUAUAAUUUUUUUAUUGUUCCAUGCUAUUAUAGUAUCAAUCUUCUAUGUUUUAUAUGCAAUUAUAUUUUUUUGUGACUAACCUAUUGAACUAAUGCCAAGUGUCAGUUGUUAUUUUUUCCCGUCUUUGGUUUUCCAGGAAACCAGUACCAAACAAAGUCCAAAUGCUAUGUAACUUUUUGAUGAUUUUUUUCAGGACAAGAGAGACCGUAGAAGCUUCGGGAGGAGACCUAUCAUGGAUUUUUCACGGCAGAUGCCCCAGUGAAAGGACUUAGGUGUGGAGCCAUUGCAACUUGGUUAGCUUGAAGGGGUUGAACGCGACAAAGGACACAAGGAGUUUACCCAGGUUCAGCCCCUCACGAUGGAGGUAAAAGCCUACGUGAUGGGGAGUAUCCCAAGGUCAUCCCCAUGGACCUACCAUCGCCUCAACAAGUAGCAAAAGGACCGAUGACACGAGCACGAGCUAGAGCUCUCGAGACCGAGGUGACAUCUCUCCUUAGUGAUAUUCCAUAUGAUCCACUUGAGACUGAAGGAAUUAUGCCCUAGAGGCAAUAAUAAAGUUAUUAUUUAUUUCCUUAUUUCAUGAUAAAUGUUUAUUAUUAAUGCUAGAAUUGUAUUUACCGGAAACAUAAUACAUGUGUGAAUACAUAGACAAACAUAGUGUCACUAGUAUGCCUCUACUUGACUAGCUCGUUAAUCAAAGAUGGUUAAGUUUCCUAACCAUAGACAUGAGUUGUCAUUUGAUUAACGGGAUCACAUCAUUAUAAGAAUAAUGUGAUUGACUUGACCCAUUCCGUUAGCUUAGCACUUGAUCGUUUAGUAUGUUGCUAUUGCUUUCUUCAUGACUUAUACAUGUUCCUAUGACUAUGAUAUUAUGCAACUCCCGUUUACUGGAAGAACACUUUGUGUGCUACCAAACGUCACAAUGUAACUGGGUGAUUAUAAAGGAGCUCUACAGGUGUCUCCGAAGGUACAUGUUGGGUUGGCAUAUUUCGAGAUUAGGAUUUGUCACUCCGAUUGUCGGAGAGGUAUCUCUGGGCCCUCUCGGUAAUGCACAUCACUAUAAGCCUUGCAAGCAAUGUGACCAAUGAGUUGGUUACAGAAUGAUGCAUUAUGUAACGAGUAAAGAGACUUGCCGGUAACAAGAUUGAACUAGGUAUUGAGAUACCGACGAUCGAAUCUCGGGCAAGUAACAUACCGAUGACAAAAGGAACAACGUAUGUUGUUAUGCGGUUUGACCGAUAAAGAUCUUCACAGAAUAUGUAGGAGCCAAUAUGAGCAUCCAGGUUCCGCUAUUGGUUAUUGACCGGAAACAGUUCUAGGUCAUGUCUACAUAGUUCUCGAACCCGUAGGGUCCGCACGCUUAAAGUUACGAUGACAGUUUCAUUAUGAGUUUGUAUGUUUUGAUGUACCGAAGGUUGUUCAGAGUCCCGGAUGUGAUCACGGACAUGACGAGGAGUCUCGAAAUGGUCGAGACAUAAAGAUUGAUAUAUUGGAAGCCUAUAUUUGGAUAUCGAAAUUGUUCCGGGAGAAAUCGGGAUUUUUCCGGAGUACCGGGGGGUUACCGGAACCCCCCCCCCCCGGGGGGGGGGAUAAUGGGCCUACUUGGGCCCUAAGGGAGAAGAGGAGGGCCGGCCAGGGCAGGCCGCGCUACCCCUCCCCCUCUAGUCCGAAUAGGACAAAGAAGGGGGGGCGGCGCCCUCCUUUCCUCUUUCCCCUCCCCCUUUCCUUCUCCUACAAGGCAAGAGGAGGGAGUCCUACUCCCGGUGGGAGUAGGACUCCUCCAGGCGCACCCGUAGGGGCCGGUCGCACCUCCCCCCUGCCUCCUUUAUAUACGGGGGCAGGGGGCACCCCAUAACACACAAGUUGAUCUUCGUGAUUGUUCCUUAGCCGUGUGCGGUGCCCCCCUCCACCAUAUUCCACCUCGGUCAUAUCGUUGCGGUACUUAGGCGAAGCCCUGCGUCAGUAGAACAUCAUCAUCAUCACCACGCCGUCGUGCUGACGGAACUCAUCCCCAACACCCUGCUGGAUCGGAGUCCGGGGAUCAUCAUCUAGCUGAACGUGUGCUGAACUCGGAGGUGCCGUACGUUCGAUGCUUGGAUCGGUCGGAUCGUGAAGACGUACGACUACAUCAACCGCGUUGUCAUAACACUUCCACUUUCGGUCUACGAGGGUACGUGGACACACUCUCCGCUCUUGUUGCUAUGCAUCACCAUGAUCUUGCAUGUGCGUAGGAAUUUUUUUGAAAUUACUACGUUCCCCAACAGUGGCAUCCGAGCCUAGGUUUUAUGCGUUGAUGUUAUUUGCACGAGUAGAACACAAGUGAGUUGUGGGCGAUACAAGUCACACUGCUUACCAGCAUGUCAUACUUUGGUUCAGCGGUAUUGUUGGAUGAAGCGGCCCGGACCGACAUUACGCGUACGCUUACGCGAGACUGGUUUUACCGCCGUGCUUUGCACACAAGUGACUAGAGGGUGUUUGUUUCUCCAACUUUAGUUGAACCGAGUGUGGCUACGCCCGGUCCUUGCGAAGGUUAAAACAAUACUAACUUGACGAACUAUCGUUGUGGUUUUGAUGCGUAGGUAAGAACGGUUCUUGCUCAGCCCGUAGCAGCCACGUAAAAUUUGCAACAACAAAGUAGAGGACGUCUAACUUGUUUUUGCAGGGCAUGUUGUGAUGUGAUAUGGUCAAGACGUGAUGCUAUAUUUUAUUGUAUGAGAUGAUCAUGUUUUGUAACCGAAGUUAUCGGCACUUGGUAGGAGCCAUAUGGUUGUCGAUUUAUUGUAUGAAAUGCAAACACCCUGUAAUUGCUUUACUUUAUCACUAAGUGGUAGCGAUAGUCGUAGAAGCAAUAGAUGGCAUAACGACAAUGAUGCUACGAUGGAGAUCAAGGUGUCGCGCCGGUGACGAUGGUGAUCACGACGGUGCUUCGGAGAUGGAGAUCACAAGCACACGAUGAUGAUGGCCAUAUAAUAUCACUUAUAUUGAUUGCAUGUGAUGUUUAUCCUUUAUGCAUCUUAUCUUGCUUUGAUUGAUGGUAGCAUUUUAAGAUGAUCUCUCACUAUAUUAUCAAGAAGUGUUCUCCCUGAGUAUGCACCGUUGUGAAAGUUCUUCGUGUUGAGACACCACGUGAUGAUCAGGUGUGAUAGGCUCUACGUUCAAAUACAACGGGUGCAAAACAGUUGCACACGCGAAAUACUCAGGUUAAACUUGACGAGCCUAGCAUAUACAGACAUGGCCUCGGAACAUGGAGACCGAAAGGUCGAGCGUGAAUCAUAUAGUAGAUAUGAUCAACGUAGUGAUGUUCACCAUUGAAAACUACUCCAUCUCACGUGAUGAUCGGACAUGGUUUAGUUGAUUUGGAUCACGUGAUCACUUAGAUGACUAGAGAGAUGUCUGUCUAAGUGGGAGUUCUUAACUAAUAUGAUUAAUUGAACUUAAAUUUAUCAUGAACUUAGUCCUGGUAGUAUUUUGCAAAUUAUGUUGUAGAUCAAUAGCUUGCGUUGUUGCUUUCAUAUGUUUAUUUUGAUAUGUUCCUAGAGAAAAUUAUGUUGAAAGAUAUUAGUAGCAAUGAUGCAGAUUGGAUCCAUGAUCUGAGGUUUAUCCUCAUUGCUGCACAGAAGAAUUAUGUCCUUAAUGCACAGCUAGGUGACAGGCCUAUUGCAGGAGCAGAUGCAGACGUUAUGAACAUUUGGCUAGCUCACUAUGAUGACUACUUGAUAGUUUAGUGCACCAUGCUUAACGGCUUAGAAUCGGGACUUCAAAGACGUUUUUGAACGUCAUGGACCAUAUGAGAUGUUCCAGGAGUUGAAGUUAAUAUUUCAAGCAAAUACCCGAGUUGAGAGAUAUGAAGUCUCCAACAAUUUCUAUGGCUAAAAGAUGGAGGAGAAUCGCUCAACUAGUAAGCAUGUGCUCAGAUUGCCUGGGUACUACAAUCGCUUGAAUCAAGUGGGGGUUAAUCUUCGAGAUAAGAUAGUGAUUGAGAGAGUUCUCUAGUCACCACCACCAAGUUAGUAGAACUUUGUGAUGAACUAUAGUAUGCAAGGGAUGACGAAAACGAUUCCCGAGCUCUUCGUGAUGUUGAAAACAACGAAGGUAGAAAUCAAGAAAGAGCACCAAGUGUUGAUGGUUGACAAGAUCACUAGUUUCAAGAAUAGGGCAAAGGGAAAGAAAGGGGAACUUCAAGUAGAAUGACAAGCAAGUUGUCACUCCCACGAAGAAGACCAAAGCUGAACCAAAGCCUGAAACUGAGUGCUUACACUACAAAUGAAAUGGUCACUGGAAAUGGAAAUACCCUGAAUAUUUGGUGGAUAAGAAGUAUGGCAGAGUGAACAAGGGUAUAUUUGAUAUACAGGUUAUUGAUGUGUACCUUACUAGUGUUUAUAGUAGCCCCUGAAUAUUUGAUACUUGUUCGGUUGCUAAAAAUUAGUGACUCGAAAUAGGAGUUACAGAAUAAACAGAAACUAGUUGAGGGUGAAGUGACAAUGUGUGUUGGAAGUGGUUCCAAGAUUGAUAUGAUCAUCAUCGCACACUCCCUAUACUUUCGGGAUUAGUGUUGAACCUAAAUAGAUGUUAUUUGGCGUUUGCGUUGAGCAUGAAUAUGAUUUGAUCAUGUUUAUUGCAAUACGGUUAUUCAUUUAAAAUCAGAGAAUAAUUGUUGUUCUGUUUAAAUGAAUAAAACCUUUGAUGGUCAUACACCCAAUGAAAAUAGUUUGUUGGAUCUCGAUCGUAGUGAUACACAUAUUCAUAAUAUUGAUGCCAAAAGAUGCAAAGUUAAUAAUGAUAGUGCAACUUAUUUGUGGCACUGCCGUUUGGGUCAUAUCGGUGUAAAGCGCAUGAAGAAACUCCAUAAAGAUGGAUUUUCGGAAUUAUUUGGUUAUGAAUCAUUUGAUGCUUGCGAACCGUGCCUUUUGGGCAAGAUGACUAAAACUCCGUUCUCCGGAACAAUAGAACGAGCUACUAACUUGAUGGAAAUAAUACAUACCGAUGUAUACAGUCCAAUGAGUGUUGAUGCUCGUGGCGGGUAUCAUUAUUUUCUGACCUUCACAAGAUGAAUUGAGCAGAUAUGAGUAUAUCUACUUAAUGAAGCACAAGUCUGAAACAUUUGAAAAGUCCAAAGAAUUUCAGAGUGACGUGGAGAAUGAUCGUAACAAGAAAAUAAAGUUUCUGCAAUUUGAUCGCGGAGACAAAUAUUUGAGUUACGAGUUUGGUCUUCAAUUAAAACAAUGUGGAAUAGUUUCACAAACUCAUGCCACCUGGAAACCACAGCUUAAUGGUGUGUCCGAACGUCAUAACAGUACUUUAUAGGAUAUAGUGCAAUCUAUGAUGUCUCUUACCGAUUAUCACUAUUGUUUUGGGGUUAUGCAUUAGAGAUAGCUGCAUUCACUUUAAAUAGGGCACCAUCAAAAUCUAUUGAGACGACACCUUAUGAACUAUGGUUUGGCAAGAAACCAAAGUUGUCGUUUCUUAAAGUUUGGAGAUGCGAUGCUUAUGUGAAAAAAUUUCAACCUGAUAAGCUCGAACCCAAAUCGGAGAAGUGCGUCUUCAUAGAAUACCCAAAGGUAACUAUUGGGUACACCUUCUAUCACAGAUCCUAAGGCAAGUUAUUCGUUGCUAAGAUGGAUCCUUUCUAGAGAAGAAGUUUCUCUCGAAAUAAGUGAGUGGGAGGAAAGUAGAACUUGAUGAGGUAAUUGUACCUUCUCCCUUAUUGGAAAGUAAUUCAUCACAGAAAUCAGUUCCAGUGAUUCCUACACCAAUUAGUGAGGAAGCUAAUGAUGAUGAUCAUGAAACUUUAGAUCAAGUUACUACAGAACCUCGUAGGUCAACCAGAAUAAGAUCCACACCAGAGUGGUAUGGUAAUCCUGUUCUGGAAGUCAUGUAACUAGACCAUGAUGAACUUACGAACUAUGAGGAAGCGAUGAUGAGCCCAGAUUCCACGAAAUGGCUUGAGGCCAUAAAAUCUGAGAUAUGAUCCAUGUAUGAGAACAAAGUAUGGACUUUGAUUGACUUGCUCGAUGAUCAGCAAGCCAUGUUAAAUAAAUUCAUCUUCAAGAGGAAGACGGACACUGAUAGUAGUGUUACUAUCUACUAAGCUCGACUUGUUGCGAAAGGUUUUCGACAAGUUCAAGGUGUUGAAUACAAUGAGAUUUUUUCACUCGUAUCGAUGCUUAAGUCUAUCUGAAUCAUGUUAGCAAUUGCCACAUUUUAUGAAAUCUGGCAAAUGGAUGUCAAAACUGCAUUCCUUAAUAUUUUUUUAAAGAAGAGUUGUAUAUGAUGCAACCAGAAGGUUUUGUUAAUCCUAAAGGUGCUAACAAAAUGUGCAAGCUCCAGCGAUCCAUCAAUGGACUGGUGCAAGCAUCUCGGAGUUGGAAUAUACACUUUGAUGAGCUGAUCAAAGCAUAUAGUUCUAUACAGACUUACGGUGAAGCCUGUAUUUACAAUAAAGUGAGUGGGAGUACUACCACCUUUCUGAUAAAUAUAUGUGAGUAACAUAUUGUUGAUCAGAAAUGAUGUAGAAUUUUUCUGGAAAGCAUAAAGGAGUAUUUGAAAAGAGUUCUUUAAAAGAAAGACCUCAGUAAAGCUACUUACGUAUUGAGCAUCAAGAUCUAUUGAGAUAGAUCAAGACGCUUGAUAAGUUUUUCAAUAAGCACAUACCUUGUCAAGAUUCUGAAAUAGUUCAAAAUGGAAUAAUCAAAGAAAGAGUUCUUGCCUGUGUUGCAAAGAUGUGAAAUUGAGUAAGACUCAAAUCCCGACCAUGGCAGAAAAUAGAAAAGAGAAUGAAAGUCAUUCCCUAUGCCUCAGUCAUAGGUUCUAUAAAGUAUGCUAUGUACCAGACCUAUUGUAUACCUUGCUCUGAAUUUGGCAAGGGAGUACAAUAGUGAUCUAGAAGUGGAUCACUGGACAUUGGUCAAAAUUAUCCUUAGAGAAAUAAGGAGAUGUUUCUCGAUUAUGGAGGUGAUAAAAGAGCCUGUCGUAAAAAGUUACAACGAUGCAAGCUUUUACACCAAUCCAGAUGAUUCUAAGUCUCAAUCUGGAUACAUAUUGAAAGUGGGAGCAAUCAGCUAGAGUAGCUCCAUGCAGAGCAUUGUGGACAUAGAAUAUUUGCAAAAUACAUACGGCUCUGAAUAUGACAGACCCGUUGACUAAACUUCUCUCACAAGCAAAACAUGAUCAUACCUUAGUACUCUUUGGGUGUUAAUUAGAUAACGAUGUGAACUAGAUUAUUGACUCUAGUAAACCCUUUGGGUGUUGAUCACAUGACGAUGUGAACUAUGGGUAUUAACACAUACACAUGUGGAUAUUGGUGUUAAAUCACAUGGCGAUGUGAACUAGAUUAUUGACUCUAGUGCAAGUGGGAGACUAAAGGAAAUAUGCCCUAGAGGCAAUAAUAAAGUUAUUAUUUAUUUCCUUAUUUCAUGAUAAAUGUUUAUUAUUCAUGCUAGAAUUGUAUUAACCGGAAACAUAAUACAUGUGUGAAUGCAUAAACAAACAUAGUGUCACUAGUAUGCCUCUACUUGACUAGCUCAUUAAUCAAAGAUGGUUAAGUUUCCUAACCAUAGGCAUGAGUUGUCAUUUGAUUAACGGGAUCACAUCAUUAGAAGAAUAAUGUGAUUGACUUGACCCAUUCCGUUAGCUUAGCACUUGAUCGUUUAGUAUGUUGCUAUUGAUUUCUUCAUGACUUAUACAUGUUCCUAUGACUAUGUGAUUAUGCAACUCCCGCUUACCGGAAGAACACUUUGUGUGCUACCAAAUGUCACAACGUAACUGGGUGAUUAUAAAGGAGCUCUACAGGUGUCUCCGAAGGUACAUGUUGGGUUGGCAUAUUUCGAGAUUAGGAUUUGUCACUCCGAUUGUCGGAGAGGUAUCUCUGGCCCCUCUCGGUAAUGCACAUCACUAUAAGCCUUGCAAGCAAUGUGACCAAUGAGUUGGUUAUGGAAUGAUGCAUUACGUAACGAGUAAAGAGAUUUAUCGGUAACAAGAUUGAACUAGGUAUUGAGAUACCGACGAUCGAAUCUCGGGCAAGUAACAUACCGAUGACAAAAGGAACAGCGUAUGUUGUUAUGCGGUUUGACCGAUAAAGAUCUUCGUAGAAUAUGUAGGAGCCAAUAUGAGCAUCCAGGUUCCGCUAUUGGUUAUUGACCGGAAACAGUUCUAGGUCAUGCCUACAUAGUUCUCGAACCCGUAGGGUCUGCACGCUUAAAGUUACGAUGACAGUUUCAUUAUGAGUUUGUAUGUUUUGAUGUACCGAAGGUUGUUCGGAGUCCCGGAUGUGAUCACGGACAUGACGAGGAGUCUCAAAAUGGUCGAGACAUAAAGAUUGAUAUAUUGGAAGCCUAUAUUUGGAUAUCGGAAUUGUUCCGGGAGAAAUUGGGAUUUUUCCGGAGUACCGGGGGGUUACCGGAACCCCCCCGGGGGAUAAUGGGCCUACUUGGGCCCUAAGGGAGAAGAGGAGGGCCGGGCAGGGCAGGCCGCGCCCCCCUCCCCCUCUAGUCCGAAUAGGACAAGGAAGGGGGGGGGCGGCGCCCCCCUUUUCUCUUUCCCCUCCCCCCUUUCCUUCUCCUACAAGGCAAGAGGAGGGAGUCCUACUCCCGGUGGGAGUAGGACUCCUCCAUGCGCACCCCUAGGGGCCGGCCGCACCUCCCCCCUCCCUCCUUUAUAUACGGGGGCAGGGGGCACCCCAUAACACACAAGUUGAUCUUCAUGAUUGUUCCUUAGCCGUGUGCGGUGCCCCCCUCCACCAUAUUCCACCUCGGUCAUAUCGUUGCGGUGCUUAGGCGAAGCCCUGCGUCGGUAGAACAUCAUCAUCAUCACCACGCCGUCGUGCUGACGAAACUCAUCCCCGACACCCUGCUGGAUCGGAGUCCAGGGAUCAUCAUCGAGUUGAACGUGUGCUGAACUCGGAGGUGCCGUACGUUCGGUGCUUGGAUCGGUCGGAUCGUGAAGACGUACGACUACAUCAACCGCGUUGUCAUAACGCUUCCGCUUUUGGUCUACGAUGGUACGUGGACACACUCUCCCCUCUCGUUGCUAUGCAUCACCAUGAUCUUGCGUGUGCGUAGGAAUUUUUUUGAAAUUACUACGUUCCCCAACAGAGACAUGGCUACUACCUAAGUCUGGAAUGUUGUGCGUGCUCAGGUACCGAAAAGGCCCUAUGGAAGAUGCAUGUGAAGAUGGACAAGUCCCCAAUUUACGGAUGAAGAGAUCCAACUGAAGAAGUCUGGGCUAGCUCCCCGGACCCGGAAAUCCUUCCAUGAACCCGGAGCCCCCAGAGGUGUCGCCUGCAGCAACGAGACAACGGUCAAGCCUACAGGGCCCGAACAUCCAGCAGUCAGCCCGGACAUCUAGCCCCCAGCCCGGAAUUCCGACAUUCAGCCCGUACAUCCGGAUAAGUCCAAUCAGAUAGCAAAAAUCCAGCGCCUCCAGCCCGAACAUCCAGCCCGCAGCCCGGACAUUUGGCUGUUCCCGAGCCACCGGACAUCCGAACACCCGCCCGGACAUCCGAACUAUGCCUAUCCAGAGAGCCCGAGACCUGACCCAUCCAGCUCGGACAUCCGGCCCACAAUCUGGACAUCUGGCGUCUUCCGAAGCCCCAGACAUCCGGCCCAAAGCCCGGACGUCUAACCUCGCCUGUCUACGCAUAGUGAAAGGGCCCGUGGCCCAUGUACCCCUUCGCCCCAAGACUAUAUAUACUCCUCCUCCUCCCUCUUUCUAGGGUUAGCAAAGUAGUAGCUCAUUUGAGAAGCUUUGCUCUCCACUUGAUCCCUUCUCCAUCGGAGUCACGACCUCUACGGAGAAGAUCCCCCAAGUUGAUUCAUGACCCCAUCACGGGAAGACCCCUCAAGACUUCCUAACGGAGAAGAACUACCGCUACUUAUAUCGUCCCUUGUUGGAUUUGGACCAUGUACCUCUUUGUGUUUCGUGGAUCUAGCACAUGUGUAAGUGAAUCUUGUUGGUUUGAGUGUUUUCUCUCCUGUUUCCCCUCAUAUUUCCCCUCGUGUUCUUUAUAGGAUCCACUCCAAUCGUGAAAGGUCGGCCCUAGGGUUUCCACCCUACAUCAUCUUGGUAUCAGAGCUAGGUUGAUCACGAACUUGGAGCCCCUACCCCUCGUUUUUAUAGCCUAACUUUGUUGUGUUCUUCCCUAAAUUCAAAACCCCACCAAAAAUAGUCCUCCGAUUUUUUUUGUGAUGAAGUUUUGUUGGAUUUGAUCGACGGAUUUCAUGUGUAGCAGGUAGAUCUAGCUUUCCCCCAUAUUUUCUCCAAUUUCCAUCCACGAAAUUCCCCAAAUUCUUCGAAAUUCCGAUUUCUCUGUGAGUUCGUCGAAUUCGUCCAUGGACCCAGAGCCAGGACGUUCGACCCGUGACCCCAGACAUCCGGCCACCCCGGACAUCCGGCCUUCAAGCCCGGACAUCGGCCCCUGUCAGUAUCACUUCCUUCCACCGCUUCGUUUACCACCUAUCUCUCACCAAUUUUGGCCGGGCAUACCACCAUCUCUUCUUCAUACCACCACCACUUUCCACAACCACCUUUGCUUACCCAUUCCGCACUCUGACAACUUUUGUGACAUUUGGUAUUUGAGAUUUGAGUAGCAGUUUCUGUUUCCUAACGUGUUUCGGCUACUUAGGGAUGGUUCGACUUCGCAAUCACCGUCGCUCAUCUUCGUCAUCGACAUCGACCGCUUAACAAUUUUGACACCUUGAACGUAAGCAAGAACGGUAACCUCUAUAUCAUCUUGGUAUCAUGGCAUCCUCUCAUUGCACAUUCUUGCCAUUACAUUGAUAACCACCAUAGACCAUUUUGCUUACCUUACCCAUCGAGACUAGCCAUUUGAGUAUUGCCAGCAAUGUCACUUGUGCACAUUAGUGAUCAUAGCCCCAUUGCAUAGAUACCAUAUCAUCUUGGUACAUAUUUUGUUAUCAUCUCUUUGUCACAAUGUUGUCAUAGCAUAUACACAAUUGCAGGCUUGGAUCGUGAAGUUUCGCAUGAGUGUCCAUCAAAAGAGCUCAAAAGAGGAAGAGCCAAAGAAGCUUUUAAGCAAACGAGAAAGAUAAGCAAGGAGCUUUUAAGCCAGAACAAUAGCAU